rnacentral:rRNA from 1 species
CCUACGGGAGGCAGCAGUGGGGAAUAUUGCACAAUGGGGGGAACCCUGAUGCAGCGACGCCGCGUGGGUGAAGGAGUAUUUCGGUAUGUAAAGCCCUAUCAGCAGGGAAGAACAAUGACGGUACUUGACUAAGAAGCACAGGCUAAAUACGUGCCAGCAGCCGCGGUAAUACGUAGGGUGCAAGCGUUAUCCGGAUUUACUGGGUGUAAAGGGAGCGCAGGCGGGGCGUUAAGCCUGGUGUGAAAGCCUGCGGCCCAACCGCGGGACUGCAUUUGGAACUGGCGCGCUGGAGUGCCGGAGGGGUAGGCGGAAUUCCUAGUGUAGCGGUGAAAUGCGUAGAUAUUAGGAGGAACACCAGUGGCGAAGGCGGCCUACUAGACGGUGACUGACGCUGAGGCUCGAAAGCGUGGGGAGCAAACAGGAUUAGAUACCCGGGUAGUC